GGGGAAUUUUCCUGCAAUGGGCGAAAGCCUGACGGAGCAAGACCGCGUGGGGGAGGAAGGUUCUUGGAUUGUCAACCCCUUUUCUCAGGGGAAGAAGAAAGUGACGGUACCUGAGGAAGAAGCAUCGGCUAACUCCGUGCCAGCAGCCGCGGCUAAUACGGGGGAUGCAAGCGUUAUCCGGAAUGAUUGGGCGUAAAGAGUCCGUAGGUGGCUGUUCAAGUCUGCUGUUAAAGAGCGAGGCUUAACUUCGUAAAAGCAGUGGAAACUGAAGAGCUAGAGUGUAGUAGGGGCAGAGGGAAUUCCUGGUGUANCGGUGAAAUGCGUANAGAUCAGGAAGAACACCGGUGGCGAAAGCGCUCUGCUGGGCUAAAACUGACACUGAGGGACGAAAGCUAGGGGAGCGAAUGGGAUUAGAUACCCCAGUAGUC
rnacentral:rRNA from 1 species